AGGCCCGGGCCGGCUUUCUUGAGGAAGAGCCUGUCGUGGAGCCAGGACUCUGUUGUUCUGAAAGUGCUCAGAAAAUGCAGCUUGAGUCAGCAGAAUGAGUUUGAAGAUAAAAAUACAGCUGUGGAUGAAUGUACAGCUGUGGACAGACAGGCCCCAAUUUAGUGGGUGUGUGUUAGGGGGAGUUUUCCUAUGUAUUCAUGGAGUGUGUGGUGAACUUCCCCAUCCCUCCUGGCUCUCUGAAUAACGUUGAAGGAGGAGGACGAGUAGACAGUGAUCCCUGGUGGUCUCCUGAGCCCCUUCCAGGCCACUGGGUGGUGGAGGGAUAGUGGAGGCCUCCCUCAAGCUCUCCCCUUACCCAAACUGGAGCUCUCAGCCUGGGCAGGGCUGGUCUGAAGAUUCAAAGUAAAGUUAACUUGAAGACUUUAAGUACUAUCAUCUGGACGUCACAGCCUGAUAAGUCAACAUGGAUAAAAACCCAGACUGUCAGAAAGAUCGUUUCUUUUUUUAGACGAAGUUUCACUCUUGAUGCCCAGGCUGGAGUGCAAUGUCACGAUCUCAGCUCACUGCAGCCUCCGCCUCCUGGGUUCAAGUGAUUCUCCUCCCUCAGCCUCCCAAGUAGCUGGGAUUACAGGAACCCACCACCAUGCCUGGGUAAUUUUUGUAUUUUUAGUAGAUACAGG
rnacentral:lncRNA from 1 species